rnacentral:rRNA from 1 species
GCGGAAGAGAUAAGUGCUGAAAGCAUCUAAGCACGAAACUUGCCCCGAGAUGAGUUCUCCCUGAGACUUUAGGUCUCCUGAAGGAACGUUGAAGACGACGACGUUGAUAGGCCGGGUGUGUAAGCGCAGCGAUGCGUUGAGCUAACCGGUACUAAUGAACCGUGAGGCUUAACCUUACAACGCCGAAG